UGUUAACCCUCAUAGUCUGACAUUUGGGACACGGGGGACGUGCUUGGAGGUGGCAAUGAGACACUGCCAUGCUUCGUUCUGGUUUGACUUUCUUCGCACUGAGCUACAGUGUGGAGGCAGUCAAAAGGGCCAUGCUAAGGGCCCAAGGGUGUGACAUAGUGGCAGGUCUAAUGUCGCCGUAGAGUGGGGAAAUUCC